AGUGAACGCUGGCGGUAGGCCUAACACAUGCAAGUCGAACGGCAGCACAUUAAGAGCUUGCUCUUACGGGUGGCGAGUGGCGGACGGGUGAGGAAUACAUCGGAAUCUACUUUUUCGUGGGGGAUAACGUAGGGAAACUUACGCUAAUACCGCAUACGACCUACGGGUGAAAGCAGGGGAUCUUCGGACCUUGCGCGAUUGAAUGAGCCGAUGUCGGAUUAGCUAGUUGGCGGGGUAAAGGCCCACCAAGGGGACGAUCCGUAGCUGGUCUGAGAGGAUGAUCGGCGACACUGGAACUGAGACACGGUCCAGACUCCUACGGGAGGCAGCAGUGGGGAAUAUUGGACAAUGGGCGCAAACCUGUUCCAGCCAUACCGCGUGGGUGAAGAAGGCCUUCGGGUUGUAAAGCCCUUUUGUUGGGAAAGAAAAGCAGCAGGUUAAUACCCCGCUGUUCUGACGGUACCCAAAGAAUAAGCACCGGCUAACUUCGUG
rnacentral:rRNA from 1 species